UUUCGAUUUCGCGUCCGCCUCUGAUUCGCUUGGUGCAGGUCGGGUCCGCCUCGAUCCGGCAUCCGGCGACGGCGAUGGCGGCGGAUCCCGCCUUGCAUCAACUGAAUCGGAGGCGGAUCAGCGAGUGGAUUG
rnacentral:pre_miRNA from 1 species